UACGUAGGGUGCGAGCGUUGUCCGGAAUUAUUGGGCGUAAAGGGCUCGUAGGCGGUUUGUCGCGUCGGGAGUGAAAACCUUGGGCUUAACUCAGGGCUUGCUUUCGAUACGGGCAGACUAGAGGUAUGCAGGGGAGAACGGAAUUCCUGGUGUAGCGGUGAAAUGCGCAGAUAAUCAGGAGGAACACCGGUGGCGAAGGCGGUUCUCUGGGCAUGAUCUGA
rnacentral:rRNA from 1 species